rnacentral:tRNA from 27 species
GGGCGCGUAGCUCAGCGGUAGAGCAUUCGCUUCACACGCGAAGGGUCACAGGUUCAAUCCCUGUCGCGCCCACCA